rnacentral:tRNA from 1 species
GCAGCGCAUUGGAUAGCGCGUUGGACUUCUAUUCCAAAGGUCGUGGGUCAAAAUCCCACCUGAAACG